rnacentral:ncRNA from 1 species
UGAGACAAGGCCAAACCCGUUGAGAAACGGGGGCGGAAAGCCACGGGUCUCUAUAGAAAGCCGAGCUGCCUCAC